rnacentral:rRNA from 1 species
AUUGAACGCUGGCGGCAGGCCUAACACAUGCAAGUCGAGCGAGCGGCGGACGGGUGAGUACUGUCUGGGAAUCUGCCCGAUAGCGGGGGAUAACUACUGGAAACGGUAGCUAAUACCGCAUACCAUCGGAUGUACCCAUAUGGGAUUAGCUAGUUGGUGGGGUAAUGGCUCACCUAGGCGACGAUCCCUAGCUGGUCUGAGAGGAUGAUCAGCCACACUGGAACUGAGACACGGCCCAGACUCCUACGGGAGGCAGCAGUGGGGAAUAUUGCACAAUGGGCGAAAGCCGGAUGCAGCCAUGCCGCGUGUAUGAAGAAGGCCCUAGGGUUGUAAAGUACUUUCAGUGGGGAGGCGUUACCGACAGAAGAAGCACCGGCUAACUCCGUGCCAGCAGCCGCGGUAAUAC